UGAGCCUUAGUCACCCGGCACUGAGUCCCUCGUGGCCAGUGUUUUUAUAUUUACGGGUGGCUGGUUCAUUAUCACUUGCUGGGCGCCCGUUUCUGCUUUUGUUUUCGAAAGCUGGGAACGUGUUUGUGCUCAGCACUUUUACUUUGAAAAAAUUAGAGUGUUCAAAGCAGGCUUUAUUUAAGCUUGAAUAUCUUAGCAUGGAAUAAUAGAAUAGGACUUUGGUUCUAUUUUGUUGGUUUCUUGGACUAGAGUA
rnacentral:rRNA from 1 species